UGUCCCAGAAAACGUGUCAUUGAAUUAAAAUUUAAAAAACUACAACACCUAGAAUCAUGCGGUCAACCGUAUUUGUUCUUACUGGGUUUUUGCCACCUCCUGAUGUGAAUGUCACGUUACCGGGCCAAAUUUACUCGAAUUCAUUGUAACGGGCAGGGAUAUUGAGGAGCUAUCCCGUCGAAAACACACAAAACUUACAUCAGCUCUUGAGGGAGACUACGGAAUAUGAACAAGCGAACGAAGAGAGAGAGAGAAAACUUGGAAUUUGCAGCAACUGCAGAUUGGCAAUCUGAAGAGAAGAAAUCCAAUAGCACACAAUGCCCAGAAGGAACUUUACUCCCCAUCGUUUCUCUGGUGCUGAAGAGAAACAGAAAGUCCACGUCGGAUUUACCCCAUUGCCUUGCAGAAUAUAACAAUGC